rnacentral:rRNA from 1 species
AUUGAACGCUGGCGGCAGGCCUAACACAUGCAAGUCGAACGAGCGGCGGACGGGUGAGUAAUGUAUGGGAAACUGCCCGAUGGAGGGGGAUAACUACUGGAAACGGUGGCUAAUACCGCAUACUAUCGGAUGAACCCAUAUGGGAUUAGCUAGUAGGUGGGGUAAAGGCUCCCCGAGGUGACGAUCUCUAGCUGGUCUGAGAGGAUGAUAAGCCACACUGGGACUGAGACACGGCCCAGACUCCUACGGUAGGCAGCAUGGGGGAAGAUUGCACAAUGGGCGCAAGCCUGAUGCAGCCAUGCCGCGUGUAUGAAGAAGGCCUUAGGGGUGUAAAGUACUUUCAGCGGGGAGGCGUUACCCGCAGAAGAAGCACCGACUAACUCCGUGCCAGCAGCCGCGGUAAUUC